GCUAGGGUGACAGAAUGGCAAUGUGCGGGGUUCGCAAGCCCAGGCUCCGUUGCUUCAACCAACGGUCGCGGGUUCGAUUCCCGCCCCUAGCUCCA
rnacentral:tRNA from 1 species